GACGAACGCUGGCGGCGUGCUUAACACAUGCAAGUCGAGCGGUAAGGCCCUUUCGGGGGUACGACGAGCGGCGAACGGGUGAGUAACACGUGGGUGACCUGCCCUCAGCUCUGGGAUAAGCCUGGGAAACCGGGUCUAAUACUGGAUAUGACUCCAUGACGCAUGUUGUGGGGUGGAAAGCCUUGUGCGGCUGAGGAUGGGCCCGCGGCCUAUCAGCUUGUUGGUGGGGUGAGGCCUACCAAGGCGACGACGGGUAGCCGGCCUGAGAGGGCGACCGGCCACACUGGGACUGAGACACGGCCCAGACUCCUACGGGAGGCAGCAGUGGGGAAUCUUGCGCAAUGGGCGAAAGCCUGACGCAGCGACGCCGCGUGAGGGAUGACGGCCUCGG
rnacentral:rRNA from 1 species